AGAACCUACGCCGCACGGAGACAAAAAAGCGACCAUGCGAGUGAGCGUUGCAGAGCGGCUGUGCUGUACGAAUGGCUUGUCGACAGCGCUUGAUGCAAUUGGUACUUUUAUUCGGCGUCGCCGCAUCGAACGCGCAGGAUACUGAGACCGGAACAGAUGCCAUAUCCAGCGGACAUGCUGAAGCAUCUGAAGAAAUCACAACUUCUCCUCCAUUAGAAAAAGAUCCCCAACUCUUCCGAAACUUCAAGUACAGCAUCGUCAAAGGCAUCGUCCUAGACUUAAGAUGGGACCCGCCAGAUGACCUCACAACUGUGUACACUUGCACGGUCAUCUGCAAACACGAUGAGACUGGACAUCAGCAUGAUUUUAAAGGCGAAGCACCUUCACAGCACAUCACCCUAUCUCUUCACAAGCCCCUGACGACCUUCGAAUGCACAAUAGCUGCGUCAACUGGUAAAGAUGGCGACGUGCCUGUUGAAGGGUCCUCAAUUGCAUUCAGCGUCAAAACUGGAGAAAUUCAUCCCCCAACGGAUGUCAAGCUUCUUCAAAGCACUCCCACAAGCCUUACAUAUUCGUGGUCUGUUGAUACUGCCCUCAGUAGCUGGCAGGUUUCAGCAGAGCCAAUAGGAGACGACAAUUGCGACCUUGAUGAUGAUACAAAAGGGCACGGAGAGAUCCAAGAUAUGACUGUCGUAUACAACAUCACAGAUCUGACACCGGGGUCUGAAUACAACGUCUCCAUUCGAAACUGUCUCGACUCUUUUUGCAGCUUGCCGACAUUUGUUACCGCAGCUACCGAUCUUCCGGGACCAGUCACAGGUCUAAAGACGACAUUUGUGAACGAUACAGUUCUGGACGCUUGCUGGGACUCUCCGGAGGGCUGCUGGGACUAUGAUGGUUAUACAGUUAAAUGCCGAGGCCCCAAUACUGGCCAAGAGGCCUCCAUUACUGUGGGCAGUGAAGCACACGCCUUAUUGCCUCUGCACACGCCAAAGGAGAAGUUCCAAUGUUCAAUACAGCCGUUCGUUCUGAACUCGGCUGGCCAGCGCAGGAACGCUGCAACACUCGAUUUCCAAGUUUCAACGGAAGGACUGUUUCCUCCGAAGGAUGUCGAAAUCGUUGAGCUCAAUGACACAAGCAUAACCUUACGGUGGUCUGUGGAUCCGGACUCGACCACGUGGAAGCUCAAUACUUACAGCAUAUUGCCGUCAGGCAUUCAGCAUUACGUCACUCAAGACAGCGGUGAAAACGGUGGUGAAACGGUUACUCACAAAGUGACAAACCUUGCUCCAUGGACGCGUUACAACUUUUCCGUUAUGAACUGUCACAGCAACUACUGCAGUGAACCUGUUGAGCUGAUUGGAGCAACGGAUGUAGCAGCCCCAUCGAAGCCGCGAAAUCUUUCUUGCGUCAUCAAAAACGACGUGGACGUUAGUUUUACGUGGGAGAGACCAGAGGAGCCCAACGGCCCUAUCGAAGGUUACAGCCUUCGCGUGUACAACCGAGACCAGGAAGAAACGAAGUUGUUCUCUGCACCAGGAAAUGCGACCAGUAUAACAUUGAACUUGACACACGAAUUCAAUCGCUUCAUCGCAUUCUUGAAAGCUUACAAUGUAGCCGAGCGGAAUGGAGAAAAAGUCUACAGCCCCGAAUCGGAAGUCGCAUUCGAGACUUUCGGCAAAGGUCCUGUGCCUCCACGCCCCAAAGCUGUGGAAGUAACUCAUCGCGGAGCCAAGCUAUCUUGGGAAUAUCCGAAAGAUCCUAGACACCACAUCGCACACUUCACCGUAAAUGUCGACGGCCAGCAGAGAGUGCUAACUACAGAGCCUCAACUGACUCUCGAGAAAUUGGUCGCAUGGAAGCCCUACAAGAUAGGUGUCGCAUCUUGCGUAAACGAGACCUAUUGUGGUCAGGAGGGCACGCUGCUGAUACAUACAGACUUCGAUGCGCCCUCCAAGCCAUUGAACCUUACUAUCGGUUCAACGGGCACCAACUGGAUUUUUGCACGGUGGGAGGAGCCGGAUGUUCUUAACGGACCACUGAGCGGCUACAAUGUGAGCUUCAAAGACGACGCUACGCAUUUCGAAGUGACCACCACGCAGUUGUCUUACAACUACACGGGCGCCAUUCCAGAGAGCACAUACGAAGUGUCCGUGUACGCAUUCAACGAGGAGAAUGGAGCUACAAAACGCGGGCCGGCAACUACCCUGCUCACUUCCCGGAAGGAAGACUCUCUGAGCAUGGCAACUCUUGCAACAACGAGAAUUCUAUUGGCCUCACUUGGAGCUGUCACGGUGGCCCUCGUAGUGGUGGCUUUCGUACUUCACAAGAAGUGCCCUAUAACAAGCACAUUAUAUAGCACAAUCACUUACCAGAGAAGAACGUAAAAAACAAUGGGUACACACCUGUCAGAUUUUGCCCAGAGACAUUGGCCCAAAGGGAGCCGAGUAUUGAGAAAAAUGUUCGGAGUGAAAGGAGGCGCUGGAACUUGAGUACGGACCAGCUAUAAAUGGAAGUGUCAGAGGAUGACCUUUACAAAAGCGUGCUAUAAUGAAUAAAC
rnacentral:misc_RNA from 1 species